UACGGGGGGAGCAAGCGUUGUUCGGAUUUACUGGGCGUAAAGGGCGCGUAGGCGGUCAGCACAAGUCAGUUGUGAAAUCUCCGGGCUUAACUCGGAAAGGUCAACUGAUACUGUGCGACUAGAGUGCAGAAGGGGCAACUGGAAUUCUCGGUGUAGCGGUGGAAUGCGUAGAUAUCGAGAGGAACACCUGCGGCGAAGGCGGGUUGCUGGGCUGACACUGACGCUGAUGCGCGAAAGCCAGGGGAGCGAACGGG
rnacentral:rRNA from 1 species